UACGUAGGGGGCUAGCGUUGUCCGGAAUCAUUGGGCGUAAAGAGCGUGUAGGCGGCCCGGUAAGUCCGCUGUAAAAGUCAAAGGCUCAACCUUUGAAUGUCAGUGGAUACUGCCGGGCUAGAGUCCGGAAGAGGCGAGUGGAAUCCUGGUGUAGCGGUGGAAUGCGCAGAUAUCAGGAGGAACACCGAUAGCGAAGGCAGCUCGCUGGGACGGUACUGACGCUGAGGUGCGAAAGCGUGGGGAGCGAACAGG
rnacentral:rRNA from 1 species